rnacentral:rRNA from 1 species
GUGGGGAAUUUUGGACAAUGGGCGCAAGCCUGAUCCAGCCAUUCCGCGUGCAGGAUGAAGGCCUUCGGGUUGUAAACCGCUUUUGUCAGGGAAGAAAUCCUUUGGGUUAAUACCUCGGAGGGAUGACGGUACCUGAAGAAUAAGCACCGGCUAACUACGUGCCAGCAGCCGCGGUAAUACGUAGGGUGCGAGCGUUAAUCGGAAUUACUGGGCGUAAAGCGUGCGCAGGCGGUUUUGUAAGAUCGAUGUGAAAUCCCCGGGCUCAACCUGGGAACUGCAUUGGUGACUGCAAGGCUGGAGUGCGGCAGAGGGGGAUGGAAUUCCGCGUGUAGCAGUGAAAUGCGUAGAUAUGCGGAGGAACACCGAUGGCGAAGGCAAUCCCCUGGGCCUGCACUGACGCUCAUGCACGAAAGCGUGGGGAGCAAACAGGAUUAGAUACCCUUGUAGUCC